rnacentral:sRNA from 2 species
CAUAAUCCAAUGCCUAAUCCUGACUUACAGGAGCGGAGGAACCAUUUUUUUCGGGGCGCAUCGCUACGGCGUAGGGUAAUCUCUUCGACCCGAGCCCUUCAGCUAACUUCGCAGGCUUCGAUGAGGAGAACC